AUGAAACAUAAUUUUUUUUAUCAUAAUUUCAUUUCAAAAAUACAUAUUUCUAAUUCCCAAGUCAUAAAGAUAGGAUCUAUUUUAUUGACAGAAUUUAUCACUACUUUAGCUACUUUAGCAGCUUGGCCAAUUACACGGAAUUCGUGAUUAUUCUAUUUCUUGAUGCUCGCUAUGUAUAGUGGUCAAAUAGGAUUAUUUUGUUUGCGAGACCUUUUACUAUAUUUUAUCAUGUGGGAGUUAGAAUUAAUUCUUGUUUACUUACUUUUAUCCGAGUGAAGCGGCCCCAGGUGUAAGAAUGCCCAGAUAUCAUGUGGGAAUUGA
rnacentral:rRNA from 1 species